UCCCUGGUGGUCUAGUAGUUAUGAUUCAGCACUUUCACUGCUAUGGCCCAGGUUCGUCCCUGGUCUGGGAA
rnacentral:tRNA from 1 species